rnacentral:rRNA from 1 species
AAUAGAUACCCUGGUAGUCCACGCCGUAAACGAUGAGUGCUAAGUGUUAGAGGGUUUCCGCCCUUUAGUGCUGCAGCAAACGCAUUAAGCACUCCGCCUGGGGAGUACGGUCGCAAGACUGAAACUCAAAGGAAUUGACGGGGGCCCGCACAAGCGGUGGAGCAUGUGGUUUAAUUCGAAGCAACGCGAAGAACCUUACCAGGUCUUGACAUCCUUAUGCCUGCUCUGGAGACAGAGUUUUCCCUUCGGGGACAUAAGUGACAGGUGGUGCAUGGUUGUCGUCAGCUCGUGUCGUGAGAUGUUGGGUUAAGUCCCGCAACGAGCGCAACCCUUGAUCUUAGUUGCCAGCAUUCAGUUGGGCACUCUAAGGUGACUGCCGGUGACAAACCGGAGGAAGGUGGGGAUGACGUCAAAUCAUCAUGCCCCUUAUGACCUGGGCUACACACGUGCUACAAUGGAUGGUACAAAGGGCAGCAAAACCGCGAGGUUGAGCCAAAUCCCAUAAAAACCAUUCUCAGUUCGGAUUGC